GUUUACAAUAGGCAGCCUAUAGUUACUCUCUAGGAGGAGGAGUUUGGACUGGAAAACCCAGAGACAGAGGAGAGCCAGAAAGGUACUGCCGGUAGCGAGUCUGCAGAAUCUGGACUGGUGAGAUCAGUGAUGGACACCAACGGUGGAUCACAGGUGUCGAAGACAGAUGCUCAACCAGAACACCUGAAGGGAGGUCAAGAGUGUGAACCGAUGAAGGUCUCCCCGGUCAGAGAAAUGACAAUACUGAUGUAGAAUGAUGAGAAAUCACCUCGGGAAAGAUACAACUGAAUCUUUUGAAAAAUAGCCAGAAAUUAUACUUGUAUCUGAAGUGGGGGAGUUUUAUCAUUAUUCUCGCAAUAGCAGGAACGCUUCAUUAUGUAUUUUUAAAUGUCUUGUUAUCUUGAAUAAAUCUGUUUAUUACUACACAAAAAGAGCACAUUCAAUUGUUCAGGGAUGUAUUUUCUAGUAGACUCAUGGUUGUGAAACAAAUUGUGAUGUGAGAUUACGCUUAAUUCAGACCUAUUUUAGCUUGGAAAUAGAUAAUGGAUAAAGCAGUAGCCUUUUUAGCUGUUA